UACGAAGGGGGCUAGCGUUGUUCGGAAUUACUGGGCGUAAAGCGCACGUAGGCGGAUUUGUAAGUCAGGGGUGAAAUCCCGGGGCUCAACCUCGGAACUGCCUUUGAUACUGCAAAUCUCGAGUCCGAUAGAGGUGGGUGGAAUUCCUAGUGUAGAGGUGAAAUUCGUAGAUAUUAGGAAGAACACCGGUGGCGAAGGCGGCCCACUGGAUCGGUACUGACGCUGAGGUGCGAAAGCGUGGGGAGCGAACAGG
rnacentral:rRNA from 1 species